rnacentral:tRNA from 1 species
AAGGAUUUAAGUUAAAAAUUAAACUGAUAGCCUUCAAAGCUUUUUAUAAAGUAUAUUCUUUAAGCCUUA